rnacentral:rRNA from 1 species
CCCCGCAGCUCUCGCCUGGUGUCCCACUGAAGAUAAGCAGCGUUGAGUCUGGCCAGUACCUGGAUGGGAAAUCUCUUGGGGAAAGCUAAGGUUGCUGCAGGAA